rnacentral:rRNA from 1 species
UACAGAGGUGGCAAGCGUUGUUCGGAAUUACUGGGCGUAAAGGGCGCGUAGGCGGCCCACUAAGUCAGACGUGAAAUCCCCCGGCUUAACCUGGGAACUGCGUCUGAUACUGGAGGGCUUGAGUAUGGGAGAGGGAUGUAGAAUUCCAGGUGUAGCGGUGAAAUGCGUAGAUAUCUGGAGGAACACCGGUGGCGAAGGCGGCAUCCUGGACCGGUAUUGACGCUGAGGCGCGAAAGCCAGGGGAGCAAACGGG